rnacentral:lncRNA from 1 species
UUUUUCAAAUCUAAUUUAAAUUAUCUCUAAAACAGUAUACACAACAAAGAAUUAAACAUGCACACAUGCUCCAUAAUAUUAAACAAGGCUUUAACUAAUGCUUUUUUCUUCAAAUUCAGUAUUACAAAAUAAAUAAACCUCCUAUAGAAAAUAAAUUAAAGCUUCGGUUCAUCAAGGCUUUACAUCAUGUAUGUAUCAAACUAGAAGCCUCUAAUCUACAUGCUCCAUGAUAUACAUUCUUGGUACCAUGACUACAUACCUGCACAAAAGUUGAGGCAUUCAACAAGUUAAUUUUUAAUCAAUAGUCUAUAUAAAAAAAAAAAAGAGCCCCAAAAACCUUUCAUGCAUUCCUACAAGAUGANNN